rnacentral:rRNA from 1 species
CACGUAGGGGGCGAGCGUUGUCCGGAUUUAUUGGGCGUAAAGAGCUCGUAGGCGGCUCGGUAAGUCGGGUGUGAAAUUUCGAGGCUCAACCUCGAAACGCCACCCGAUACUGCUGUGGCUAGAGUCCGGUAGGGGAGCGUGGAAUUCCUGGUGUAGCGGUGAAAUGCGUAGAUAUCGGCAGGAACACCCGUGGCGAAGGCGGCCCCCUGGGCCGUACCUGGACGCUGAGGCGCGAAGGCUAGGGGAGCGAACGGG